UCGCAAGACGCCGCUCUCUUUAAGUCUGUAAAUCUCUGUAAAUCUGUAUGAUUCCUUCUCUUAAAUCCUCUAACAUCCGAGGGAAGUGAUCCAAUUUCUCCGUUCUGCAUCGGCUAUCGUGCACCGCUGUGUACAGGUCAGUGAGGGACUGUCAGUCACAGACUCAUAGACAGCAUAGCAUAUUAGGAUGGGUGGUGGUGACUGAACGACGACGACAACGAUGGCGAUGAUGGGCGGAGGCGGGGGAGGAGGAGGAGGAAGGGCGGAGGCGCAGUAUGUAAUGGCUAAGACUUCAGUUUGGUGGGAUAUAGAGAAUUGCCAGGUUCCAAAAGGCUGCGAUCCUCACGCGAUCGCACAGAAUAUAAGCUCGGCCUUGAUGAAAAUGAACUAUUCCGGGCCCGUCUCGAUCUCCUCCUACGGCGAUACUAACCGUAUCCCUGCUUCCGUCCAACACGCCCUCUCCAGCACCGGAAUUGCACUUAAUCACGUUCCCGCUGGUGUUAAAGAUGCGAGUGACAAGAAGAUUCUUGUGGAUAUGCUGUUUUGGGCAGUGGAUAAUCCUGCUCCUGCAAAUUAUUUGCUGAUUUCUGGUGACCGUGACUUCUCCAAUGCACUCCAUCAGUUGCGUAUGAGGAGAUAUAAUAUCCUUCUAGCCCAACCGCAAAAUGCAUCUGCCCCACUUCUUGCCGCAGCCAAGAGUGUCUGGCUUUGGACAAGUCUUCUGGCAGGAGGACCGCCGCUUUCAAAUGGUGAAUCAUCACAGUUUGCUAAUAGUAAUGAUUUAACCAACUCUGACAUUUUAAAAAGACAAACAGCUGACCUUGGUCAGAUAAACAACUCUGUUGAUCAAAUUUCUGAAAGCUCAACUUCUGGGAGUCAUAAAUUCUUCAACGCUGGAAGGAUUGGUGACAAUAAAUAUAAAGGGAAACCAAUUUGGAGAAAUCCAAGCCAACCAAACAUAUCGAGAACUUCAAGUGGGCUGGUUGGGAUGCCAGGGGGUCAAACAAAUGGAUCCACUAACCAACCUGGGUAUGCACAAGCAAAGCAGUUCAGGGAAGCAACUCAUGAAUUCUACGGUUCUCACAGGCCUAAAGCCACCUCAAGUGCACCACCUACUCCCACAUAUGUUCCAGGCUAUCCUGAUCCUUGGAAUAAUGGAAUUUUAUUCCCAAACAAUUAUCAGCAUCAGUUUUCACAGCCAUCAAGGCCAGCCAACAUCCCUGUGCAACCUUCUUUUGCACCGGGUAAUCUGUAUGCCCCAAAUUCUCUUAACUAUCAAUCUCCUCAAGUUCCUCCAAGGCCUGAUGGCCCCACCUUUACCUCAGGUCAUCCUACAAAUGCCCCUGAUAUCAGUAAGCUGAAUGUUUCUGAACACCCUAGCGGUGUUCACAGUCCUAGUAGUUUUCAACAACGAAAUGCAGGGGAGUCCGAAUCAAAUUCUAUUAUGGAGUCUUCAAACCCUGCAGGUUUAAAUGUUCCGCAAAAUGGGCAAGAGUUGCAAAACAAUGUACCUUUUUACCAUGACCCAUUGAACAAUAGAUACCCUUCUCAUGGACCGGAGUUUCCUCCCCGGUCUUCCUCUCCAAUGGGUAGUAACCCUGUACCCAGCAAUGGUGUUUGGGGAACCCCAGGAUGUCCGCAGCCUUCUGAAUUUGUCCAAGGCUAUAUAGGGGUUGUAUUACUUGCUUUGAACACCCUAAAAAAUGAUAAGAUGACACCAACUGAAGCAAACAUAACCGAUUGUAUUCGUUAUGGAGAUCCCAAGCACCGAAAUACGGAUGUUAGGAAGGCCCUGGACUGUGCCAUCGAGCAGCAAAUGGUGGUGAAGCAAAUUGUAGGUGCAUCCCAGUUUUAUGUGAGUAAAAAUGAAAAACUUUGGAAGUGCGUGAACCCUAUAGGUGGUAAUCCUAAGGAGUAUCCAAAAGCAAUAUGGGAUGGAAUCCAUAAAUUUCUAACUUCAUCUGUUGGGUGUUCUGCUAUGAUGGCUACUCAGUGCAGGUAAAGCUUUUUGCAAUGCUGAGUUACCUUUUGACUUCUCGAGACUCUAUGCCUGAUGAAACUCUUAUACUCUUUCUUUUCUACUAACAGAUAUCAAGAGGUGGAUUGUCCCUCAUCAAUCCGGCUGGCAGCCAAUUAGUAUUACCAUUGCAGAGACUGAUGGAGAUGUAGGUACCCAUUCUAGUGGUUGAUUAUCAGUCGAGGACGGUUGUGGUUGAGGGGACCUGGAUAUUAGAAGUAGAUAUUAUAGUUACUGUCAAAAGGACCGGUCUCCUAGGAAUUGUUGUUGAUAAGCUUCUACUUGUAGUUAUUACAGAAGGUGGACAACUAGGGAUGCUACUUUCUUCCUCUAUUUUAGUUUUGAUUUCUGGUGGAGUUCUUUGCUGCUAUCAGUAGGAUAUGGAAGGGUAGUACUUGAAGUGAUGCAUACAUUACAGAUUUUACAUCCCAUGUGCAGUGUUGCAGCAAUAUGGAGUUUUUUGAGAUUAUGGGGGUUUCUUCAGUUAUGAGUCUUUGAUUAAACAUUGAGCUUCUCUUCAUGAUUGCUUGAUAAGUCUGCAGAACUAUUUUUGUUUGGAGGAAUUGGUUAUCAGCAUCACAGAGUUUGUUGAACAAAUUAUGAGUCUUUGAUUUAAUCUUGAGCCUCUCGUCAUGGUUGUUGAUUAGUCUGCAGAACUUUGUCUUCAUCCAUGGAAUUGGUUAUUAGCAUCGCAGAGGAAGUUGAAUGCUAUUUGUAAACCUUCAAGCAAAUUGGUUCAGCAUGGUCUAGUUUCAAAUGUAACCUAUCGAAGCAGGGUAGUUGAUAUUCCAUGCUGUCAUCAUUCUUACAUAAAGUCUCUUGGAUUUUAGUUCUACUGGUAGUUGGACAACUUUCUAUAGUCAGAUCCACUGGCAGGUUAGUUCUGUUUGUUUCCAUCUUUCUCAAUGCAGUUUGAAAGUUUGUUUUUCUGGACCAUGAAGCACAUAUAGCAUGACCAAAGAACAAAGGAGCAAGGAGAAAUUAUGUAUUCUAGUGCAGAAGCUUCAAAGUAAAGGUUACAGUACAAUGGACAUCAUUUUGGACGCCCGAGUAAGCUUUGCAACCGAAAGUCUAAGUAGAACCACCAGUCUCAGAUGAUUGGUAUCAUGUGAAUGAAAGUACCAGUCGGGAGCUGAUUUGUUGGUAAGAGAAAUUUAAACCUUUGCUAUGCUAAUUGUAGUGAAUUGCAGGGGAUUAUCAACUUGGAAACUGCUAUGUAGCAUCUGUAUGUGGAUGAAAUUAAGUCUUUGUAAAACCAUGAAAUUGUGUUAGUGGUUACUGUUUUAAAGGUUGGAGCAUCCACCUUGUAAGUUUAUAUAUUGUAUUUGGCGAGUCGGAACAGUUUGUCUCUUUCAUGGAUGCUUGUUUGUCAAUAUCUUCUCUAUUUGUAGAUCGAAAAAGAAUAUUUGUUGAACCA